AACAACCGGGAUUGGUUAGUAACGGCGAGUGAGCGGCAAAAGCUCAAAUUUGAAAUCUGGCACCUUCGGUGUCCGAGUUGUAAUUUGAAGAAGUAACUUUGGUGCUGGUCCUUGUCUAUGUUCCUUGGAACAGGACGUCAAAGAGGGUGAGAAUCCCGUGUGGCGAGGAUCCCAGUGCUUUGUAAAGUGCUUUCGACGAGUCGAGUUGUUUGGGAAAGCAGCUCUAAGUGGGUGGUAAAUUCCAUCUAAAGCUAAAUAUUGGCGAGAGACCGAUAGCGAACAAGUACAGUGAUGGUAAGAUGAAAAGAACUUUGAAAAGAGAGUGAAAAAGUACGUGAAAUUGUUGAAAGGGAACGGCAUUUGAUCAGACAUGGUGUUAUGCGACCCUCGCUCCUUGUGGGUGGGGAUCUCGCAGCUCACUGGGCCAACAUCGGUUUUGGCGGCAGGAUAAAACUUUGGGAAUGUAUCUUGUCUUCGGAGAAGUAUUAUAGCCCAAGGCAAUACUGCCAGCCGGGACCGAGGACUGCGACUUUUGUCAAGGAUGAUUGGCAUAAUGGUAGAUCCCUG
rnacentral:rRNA from 1 species